rnacentral:rRNA from 1 species
GGCAUAGAUUCGAGGCUUCGGCCUUCACCUCUUCAGCUGUGCGCUCCGGCUGCACGCUGUCGAACUACACACACCUGUGCACCUUAUCGGUUUCGGCCUCACCGCCGUCGCCGCUUUACAUCUCACAACGUCAGUUCAGAAUGUUUAAACUAUAAAAGUAACAACUUUCAACAACGGAUCUCUUGGCUCUCGCAUCGAUGAAGAACGCAGCGAAAUGCGAUAAGUAAUGUGAAUUGCAGAAUUCAGUGAAUCAUCGAAUCUUUGAACGCAUCUUGCGCUCCAUGGUAUUCCGUGGAGCAUGCCUGUUCGAGUGUCACGUCAACCUCCCCGCUUGGCAAGGCCAAAUCUGUCGAAGGGGAAUUGGAACGGGGCCCGUCCCUCGGGUCGCCUUGAAAAGCGUUAUAUUGUGCUUUUUAUAGAGCGCGGGACCGGUGUGAGAAUUAUCUGCGCCCACGCCCCAUGCCUCUUCUCUAUAGCUGCUUACAGUCUUCCCCACGGAGAAUUAUACCCAGCUUUGGGCUCUAAUCACGUAGGACUACCCCCUGAACUUAAACAUAUCAAAAAGGGGGGGGAGAA